rnacentral:rRNA from 1 species
CCCUUAGAUGUUCUGGGCUGCACGCGCGCUACACUGAUGCGUUCAACGAGUUUAUGACCUUGCCCGAUAGGGUUGGGUAAUCUUUUUAAAUCGCAUCGUGAUGGGGAUAGAUUAUUGCAAUUAUUAAUCUUCAACGAGGAAUUCCUAGUAAGCGCGAGUCAUCAGCUCGUGCUGAUUACGUCCCUGCCCUUUGUACACACCGCCCGUCGCACCUACCGAUUGAAUGGUCCGGUGAAAUCUCCGGACUGGCGUGAGUCGGAGCAAUCUGACAAACACCGGAAAGUUGAUUAAACCUUACCAUUUAGAGGAAGGUGAAGUCGUAACA